GUGCUUGUAGCUCAAUUGGAUAGAGUGCUAAACUACGAAUUUAGAUGCUGAAAGUUCAAAUCUUUCCAAGCACA
rfam:Klebsormidium nitens mitochondrial DNA, contig: KFL_3731.